CAGUUGCUGUUUCACAGUGCAGGGUACCGGUAUGCAGGUGGGCGUCACCGGUACGCCCUUGUUCAACUGUCUAAACCCGAGAGCUGCUGUUCUCGGGUUGCUGCGGGGUACCGGUACACAUCGGGGCCGUCACUGGUACGCUGCUGCGCAGUGACCAAACCCGAGAGUUGCUACUCUCGGUCAGCAGUGUGGUAUCGAUACUGCUCCAAUGCUUUACC
rnacentral:lncRNA from 1 species